rnacentral:rRNA from 1 species
GAUGAACGCUGGCGGCGUGCCUAAUACAUGCAAGUCGAGCGAACGGACGAGAAGCUUGCUUCUCUGAUGUUAGCGGCGGACGGGUGAGUAACACGUGGAUAACCUACCUAUAAGACUGGGAUAACUUCGUGAAACCGGAGCUAAUACCGGAUUAUAUUUUGAACCGCAUGGUUCAAAAGUGAAAGACGGUCUGCCGUCGCUUAUGGCUGGAUCCGCGCUGCAUUAGCUAGUUGGUAAGGUAACGGCUUACCAAGGCCACGAUGCAUAGCCGACCUGAGAGGGUGAUCGGCCACACUGGAACUGAGACACGGUCCAGACUCCUACGGGAGGCAGCAGUAGGGAAUAUUGCGCAAUGGGCGAAAGCCUGACGGAGCAACGCCGCGUGAGUGAUGAAGGUCUUCGGAUCGUAAAACACUGUUAUUAGGGAAGAACAGAUGUGUAAGUAACUGUGCACAUAUUGACGGUACCUAAUCAGAAAGCCACGGCUAACUACGUG